AAGCAGGUCUUACACAUGCGAGUUGGUUUGCCUUGGCAAAAAGCAUACGGGUGAGGAAAAUUAUUACGCUACCUCUGCAAAGUGUUUGCUGCAUUGACGAUUGGUUUCGUGCAGAGAUGCUACUUAAUAAGAUUAGUCGGAAAAAUAAUAAUUAUUUUUACUUUACCGUCAAUGAUCUUUAGUUGGUUUGAAAGAACGAACAACCACAAUAGAACUGAGAGAAGGUCUAUACUUAUUAGAGGCUGCAGUGAAGAAUCUUGAACAAUGGGCGUAAGCCUGAUUCAGCCAUGCUGCGUGAGUGAAUGAAGGUUUACUGUAAAGCUCUUUUUUUGGAGAGCAUAAUGAGAGUAUCCAAAGAAUCAACAGCGUCCAACUCUGUGCCAGCAGACGCGGUAAUACAGAGGCUGUAACUGUUUAUCUUAAGGACUCGGCGUAAAGGACUUGUAGGCGGACUUUAAUAUUGUAAUUUGAAAGACCGUUUUUUAAGAACGUGUUAAUUAUAUAGAAGUACUAGAGUUUUUGUAAUGUUAGUAGUAUUUUACGAGGAGAGAUAAAAUGUGUAGAUUCGUUAAGGAAUACCAAUAGUGAAGGCAGCUAACAGAUUAACAACUGACGCUAAGGAGUGGAAGCUAAAGGAGCGAUGCGGAUUAGGUACCCGGUGUAGUUUUAGCCGUCAACGAUGCGGGUUAAUAUGGUAUAUUCAUAUACAGCUAACGCGUUAAACCCGCCGCCAGAGGAGUACGGUGGCAACAUUAAAACUCAAAGGAAUUGACUGUAUCCUACAAAAGUAGAGGGGCACGUUGCUUAAUUCGAUAACCCGCGCAAAACCUUACCAAUUUUUGAAUACUUUUUAAAUACGUUUUUAAUUGUACAGGUGGUGCAUGGCUGCCUUCAGUUCGUGCCUUGGGGUGUCCUAUUAAGUUAGGAAACGAACGUAACCUUUGUUGUGUGUUGCUGAAUCAUACUCUAUUCUUUUAAAGAUAGGAUUCAGAUAGCACUCACACGAGAACGAUGAUUGAUCCUUUUACGGGAUAAAUCGGAAUGAAAUUAGGAGAUAAAGCCAAGUCUUCACGCCCCUUAUAAAUUGGGCUGCUAAUAUGCCAUAAAGGCGUAACAAACAGUGAUAGUUUUUUUCUAUUAACCUGCAAAUAACGUCUUAGUACGGAUUGAAUCCUGCAACUCGGAUUCAUAAAGUUAGAUUUGCUAGUAAUCGUAUAUCAGCACCGGUACGGUGAAUUAUUACCCAGGAUUAGUACAUACCGCCCGUCACGCUUAGAGAGUUUGCUUGAUUCGAUAUACAAAAUAGGUAGAAUUAUUUCGUAAAGUUUUUAUUAAUAAUGGUCUUGCUGAUGUUGUACAAGUAGAAAUUGGAUGAUUUAAGCGAAGUCGUAACAAGGUCAUUGUAGGGGAAUCUGUAGUGG
rnacentral:rRNA from 1 species